rnacentral:lncRNA from 1 species
GCCCGUAGAAAUUUACAGCCGGCGCCGUGUUCGCCGUGGCAGGAGCUUGCACUAGGAGCGCAGCCUCCAGCCGCUGUUCGGGAGAGUUAUGGCCGUGAUAAACCCGCCGGGCUGCCGCGCCUCGGAAGAGUGAGGGCUCUUAGGUUUGGGACUCAGGGUGUGCAGUGAGGAGGAAAUGAACUGAAGCCGAGGUGACCUCAGUGGCCCUCCCGGACUGUGGCGGUGAGCAGCGGGAGAGCCAGCAGGCGAGGAGGAGAAGGCUUUUAAUGAAGUUGUGCCGAGGGCCGCAGAGGUGGGCUGCUGGGAACGCACCUCUCCUCCCAAAGGCAAACGCAAAACGGGGCGAGUCAUCCUGAUCAAGGGCCCCCCACAGCCCCCCGACCCCGGGCUGCCUGGCUGCCUCUCAGACCUGGGGCCGGUGCUUUUGGGCCUGCAAGGUGGGCCCCAGGGAGGUGUGUGUGUGUGUGUGUGUGUGUGUGUGUGUUUUCUGCAGUCUUGCUCCAGCCCGGCUCUUCCUAAGCACCCACGUGGUCCUUGACUCCUAACCCUUCAUGAUGGGUUAAGAACAGCCCACUUUUACAGACAGACAAUCGAGGCACAGAGCUGCAAGUUAACCAGUGCUGGUUCAGGAACUGAGACGGUGGACGGGCCGUUCUCCAAGCCCUGCCCGGGCUGCCUCUCUGAGGUUGUGUGUGUGUGUGUGUGUGUGUGUGUGUGAUGGAGAGGCCCCUGGUCCUACAGUGUGCAGUGCUGCGGUGGCCUCCUGACUGGUUUGGGAUGGUGCAGUGGCCUGCACACCCUGGGGCUUGGGUUCUGCUCUGACUCCUUUCGACGUGUGUAACCUGCCUCCUCACCCAGGAAAUGUGCGUGGUGAGGACUACAGAAAAUGUGUUAGAACGUUCUGUGCUUCACGUGACAAAGCAGGUGUUCUGUGAAUAGCCUUCUCUUGGUCGAUGCUUGUUUCUGUCCUAAGAAGUGACAUCUGGCAGAAUUAACCAGGUCCGGUAGCCAGGGCAUCUGCUUCCUCUUGCCCUGUUUCCAGGUCCACAGAGCGUCCUGACGGACAUCUUGGGGGUUCCUCUUAUCAACUGUGGGUAGGGUUCUCCUUGUCACGGGUUCCAGCCCCGUGACUGAUCUCCAGUGGCCACCAUGGUCCUGACUCUCUGUUACUGUCUGAAUCAACUCAAAGUCCUCUGCCCAGGCAGGGAGGCCCCGUGAGAAACAGCUAGGAGGGAGGAGCUCCCUGCUUCGAGGGAAAGUCCACUCUGCUUGGUUUUCCUGGAGCACAGAUUGCAAAAUGGGAAGUUUGGGGAGGGGCUCAGGGCCAGACUCCAGGAGGUGGCCAGAACUCGUGGUCCACCUUCCAAAGUGAGAGUUUGACCUUGACAGGAGCCUUGGAGGGUGCCUUCUGGGCAGGAAUCGGGUCACGUUAGGGAGCUCAACCCAGCACCUGUGUGGAGGACGGAUGGGAGGAGAGAGAGACCAGAAGCCGGCCACUCCACGGUCCCAGCAUGCCCAGGGCAGGGCCCGAGGAGAUCUGGCCCGUCCACCUCUGGGCUUCUCUCCCGUUUCUCUGCUGUGUGCCCACUGUGAUCCUGCCUCCCUUUCCCACGCUGUCCCUCAAACCAAACAAGGAUGCUCCUGCACCAGACAGGUCCCCGGCUGCUGCCCGUCCUGAUGCCCUCCCCUUGAGGGUCUGCAUGGCCUCCGGUCUCUGUUUGCUGAAGGGGCUUCACCAGGCUCUCUGCAUCCAAGAAUCCCUGACCCCUGGCUCUCCUCCUCCUCUGCCCUGGGCUUCUCUUCCCUGGCACUUAACACCACGGGACCCAGACCUGAUCAUCUGCCUCUCCCCACUGGAGUGUAACCCCAAGGCAGGGCCAGGCUCUGUCUUAUUCUCUGCUCUUUUGGUAGCGCCAGACACUCAACCAUGCAUGGAAGGAACAAUGAAUCGGGCGAUAACUCACCAUGGAGGUGGCUGUGAGCGGGGAGGGGUUUCAGGGCACAACUCACAUUCCCUACGGCGCACCUACGCUCACGGCGAACAGCGGAUUUGGGGCUGUAAGCGCUGAACACAAGUCUCCCCCAUGGGCGGUGCUGGGGAAGGCUCAGUGCUGGAAACAGGUCCCCGCAGACUCUGUGACAGUGUGGUUUGUAGAGGGGUGCCAGGUGGAGCAGCUGGAGUCCUGUCAAGACAGACUGAAGCUCUCAGCCCUUUGUGCCCUGUUCCUUCCUUCCGGCGGCGCUGACAUUGCUCUUGAGUGGUGAGUAAUUGGAGCCUCAGGGCCACCUCUCCUCUGGUGGCUGUGCACAGCUCCGGCGCUCCAGGCAGCGUGCUGCGAUAAGAAGAGAACAUUGCAAUGCCCUGGCACAAACCAAGGGUCAACACCUGCUUG